rnacentral:rRNA from 1 species
AGUGGCGAACGGGUGAGUAAAGUAUCGGAACGUGCCCAGUCGUGGGGGAUAACGUAGCGAAAGUUACGCUAAUACCGCAUACGAUCUAUGGAUGAAAGCGGGGGAUCGCAAGACCUCGCGCGAUUGGAGCGGCCGAUAUCAGAUUAGGUAGUUGGUGGGGUAAAGGCUCACCAAGCCGACGAUCUGUAGCUGGUCUGAGAGGACGACCAGCCACACUGGGACUGAGACACGGCCCACACUCCUACGGGAGGCAGCAGUGGGGAAUUUUGGACAAUGGGCGCAAGCCUGAUCCAGCCAUGCCGCGUGCAGGAUGAAGGCCUUCGGGUUGUAAACUGCUUUUGUACGGAACGAAAAGGUUUGGCCUAAUAAGCUGAGCUCAUGACGGUACCGUAAGAAUAAGCACCGGCUAACUACGUGCCAGCAGCCGCGGUAAUACGUAGGGUGCGAGCGUUAAUCGGAAUUACUGGGCGUAAAGCGUGCGCAGGCGGUUAUGUAAGACAGAUGUGAAAUCUCCGGGCUCAACCUGGGAACUGCAUUAGUGACUGCAUAGCUGGAGUACGGCAGAGGGGGAUGGAAUUCCGCGUGUAGCAGUGAAAUGCGUAGAUAUGCGGAGGAACACCGAUGGCGAAGGCAAUCCCCUGGGCCUGUACUGACGCUCAUGCACGAAAGCGUGGG